rnacentral:rRNA from 1 species
GACGAACGCUGGCGGCGCGCUUAACACAUGCAAGUCGUACGGUAAGGCCCUUUCGGGGGUACACGAGUGGCGAACGGGUGAGUAACACGUGAGUAACCUGCCCACAACUUUGGGAUAACGCUAGGAAACUGGUGCUAAUACUGGAUAUGUGCUCCUGCUGCAUGGUGGGGGUUGGAAAGCUCCGGCGGUUGUGGAUGGACUCGCGGCCUAUCAGCUUGUUGGUGGGGUAGUGGCCUACCAAGGCGGCGACGGGUAGCCGGCCUGAGAGGGUGACCGGCCACAUUGGGACUGAGAUACGGCCCAGACUCCUACGGGAGGCAGCAGUGGGGAAUAUUGCACAAUGGGCGCAAGCCUGAUGCAACAACGCCGCGUGCGGGAUGACGGCCUUCGGGUUGUAAACCGCUUUCAGCAGGGACGAAGCUUUUUGUGACGGUACCUGCAGAAGAAGCACCGGCUAACUACGUG